GUGCCCAGCCGCGGCGGUAAUACGGAGGGUGCAAGCGUUAUCCGGAUUCACUGGGUUUAAAGGGAGCGCAGGUGGGUUGGUAAGUCAGAGGUGAAAUCUCCGAGCUUAACUCGGAAACUGCCUUUGAUACUAUCAGUCUUGAAUAUUGUUGAGGUUAGCGGAAUAUGUCAUGUAGCGGUGAAAUGCUUAGAUAUGACAUAGAACACCAAUUGCGAAGGCAGCUGGCUAAACAUAUAUUGACACUGA
rnacentral:rRNA from 1 species